rnacentral:rRNA from 1 species
UCCGGUUGAUCCUGCCGGACCCGACUGCUAUCUGGAUGGGACUAAGGCAUGCAAGUCUAAUGGGAUACCUAAAUUUCCCAUGGCGAACUGCUCAGUAACGCGUGGUCAACUUACCCUGUGGAGGGGGAUAACCUCGGGAAACUGAGGAUAAUACCCCAUAGAUGAGGAGGCUUGGAAGAGUUCUUCAUUCAAAUAAGUUUUGGUUAAUGGACCAAAUAUUGCCACAGGAUAGGACCGCGUUCGAUUAUGGUCGUUGGCGAGGUAACGGCUCACCAAGCCGAUAAUCGAUAAGGGCCGUGAGAGCGGUAGCCCUGAGAUGGGUACUGAGACAAUGACCCAGGCCUUACGAGGUGCAGCAGCCGCGAAACCUUCGCAAUGCGCGAAAGCGUGACGAGGCUAUCCAGAGUGUCUUCGCCUAAGGAAGGCUGUGGCGAGUGUGUAAAAUACCUUGCUAGAAAGGAGAGGGCAAGGCUGGUGCCAGCCGCCGCGGUAAAACCAGCUCUUCAAGUCGUCGGGAUAAUUAUUGGGCUUAAAGUGUCCGUAGCCGGUUCGGUAAGUUCUUGGUAAAAGCUGGCAGCUUAACUGUCAGUAUGCUAGGAAUACUGCCUUACUAGAGGGCGGGAGAGGUCUGAGGUACUCCAGGGGUAGGGGUGAAAUCCAAUAAUCCUUGGGGGACCACCAGUGGCGAAAGCGUCAGACUGGAACGCGCCUGACGGUGAGGGACGAAAGCCAGGGGAGCAAACCGGAUUAGAUACCCGGGUAGUCCUGGCCGUAAACGAUGCGCGCGAGGUGUUGGAAAGGCCACGAGCCGUUUCAGUGCCGUAGGGAAACCGAUAAGCGCGCCGCCUGGGGAGUACGGUCGCAAGACUGAAACUUAAAGGAAUUGGCGGGGGAGCACAA